rnacentral:rRNA from 1 species
GGUCGAACGGUAACAGGUCUUCGGAUGCCGACGAGUGGCGAACGGGUGAGUAAUACAUCGGAACGUGCCUGGUAGUGGGGGAUAACUACUCGGAAGAGUAGCUAAUACCGCAUGAGAUCUACGGAUGAAAGCAGGGGACCUUCGGGCCUUGUGCUACCAGAGCGGCUGAUGGCAGAUUAGGUAGUUGGUGGGGUAAAGGCUUACCAAGCCUGCGAUCUGUAGCUGGUCUGAGAGGACGACCAGCCACACUGGGACUGAGACACGGCCCAGACUCCUACGGGAGGCAGCAGUGGGGAAUUUUGGACAAUGGGCGAAAGCCUGAUCCAGCAAUGCCGCGUGCAGGAUGAAGGCCCUCGGGUUGUAAACUGCUUUUGUACGGAACGAAAAGCCUGGGGCUAAUAUCCCCGGGUCAUGACGGUACCGUAAGAAUAAGCACCGGCUAACUACGUGCCAGCAGCCGCGGUAAUACGUAGGGUGCAAGCGUUAAUCGGAAUUACUGGGCGUAAAGCGUGCGCAGGCGGUUUUGUAAGACAGUGGUGAAAUCCCCGGGCUCAACCUGGGAACUGCCAUUGUGACUGCAAGGCUGGAGUGCGGCAGAGGGGGAUGGAAUUCCGCGUGUAGCAGUGAAAUGCGUAGAUAUGCGGAGGAACACCGAUGGCGAAGGCAAUCCCCUGG